ACGAACGCUGGCGGCGUGCUUAACCCAUGCAAGUCGAACGAUGAAGCCUAGCUUGCUAGGUGGAUUAGUGGCGAACGGGUGAGUAAUACGUGAGUAACCUACCUUUAACUCUGGGAUAAGCCCGGGAAACUGGGUCUAAUACCGGAUACGACCAAUCUCCGCAUGGGGUGUUGGUGGAAAGCGUUAUGUAGUGGUUAUAGAUGGGCUCACGGCCUAUCAGCUUGUUGGUGAGGUAACGGCUCACCAAGGCGACGACGGGUAGCCGGCCUGAGAGGGUGACCGGCCACACUGGGACUGAGACACGGCCCAGACUCCUACGGGAGGCAGCAGUGGGGAAUAUUGCACAAUGGGCGCAAGCCUGAUGCAGCGACGCCGCGUGAGGGAUGACGGCCUUCGGGUUGUAAACCUCUGUUAGCAGGGAAGAAGAGAGAUUGACGGUACCUGCAGAGAAAGCGCCGGCUAACUACGUG
rnacentral:rRNA from 1 species